rnacentral:rRNA from 1 species
GAUGAACGCUAGCUACAGGCUUAACACAUGCAAGUCGAGGGACCGGCGCACGGGUGAGUAACACGUAUCCAACCUGCCCUUUACUCGGGGAUAGCCUUUCGAAAGAAAGAUUAAUACCUGAUAUAAAGGAGGGGGAUGCGUUGCAUUAGGUUGUUGGUGAGGUAACGGCACACCAAGCCUUCGAUGGAUAGGGGUUCGGAGAGGAAGGUCCCCUACGUUGGAACUGAGGCACGGACCAAACUCCUACGGGAGGGAGGGGUAGGGAAGAUUGGUCAGUGGGCGCUAGCCUGAACCAGCCAAGUAGCGUGAAGAAUGAAGGCUUAUGGGUGGUAAACUUCUUUUAUAUAAGAAUAUGUAUUAUAAGAAUAAGGAUCGGCUAACUCCGUGCCAGCCGCCGCGGUAAUAC